GUAACUUUUAGUGUUUGCAGAGCUGUUCCAUUAUUCUUUUUAACCAAGGAGUAGCCAAACUGCAAGAAUGAUACAGUGCAAGCUGAUUUGGCGGUCCAUUCUUUUAACCCUUUAAUAUAUAUAAUACCACCAAUGAUAAAAGUGUGGGGUCCAGUCCUCUAUCCCAUAUUUUAAGAAAGGAAGAUUUUUCUUCCUUUGACAAAAUCACAUUGGUAGCAAUUGUGGAAUUGGCCAACAAGUCAAUUCUUUUGUUCACAUAGCCGUGAUGUAAGCGCUUACCUCAUCUUAGUCGUGAUGUAAGCGCUUACCUCAUCAUAGUCGUAAUGUAAGCGCUUAGCUCAUCAUAGUCGUGGUGUAAGCGCUUACCUCAUCAUAGGAAAUUCAUUCCUAUAAAUAGGCGGCUUAUGGUUCAUUUGUAAUACACCAAGAUCAUUUGCUAUACACACCAAAAUCUCAGACAAUACAUCUGAGUGAGAGCAAAAGUGAGGUAUUCCAUAGACUGUAAGAAAAUAGUCUGUGAAGAAAAAUAGAGUGUGAGUGAUAUUGUAGUGAGGUGGGAAAAUCAAAAGAGUGUUAUUUCUUUUGAGGGUGUAGUGGUCUUAGGAGUAUUUGUACUCGUUACUACACAGUGUAAAAUUCCUCUAUAGUGAUAUCAGCUGCUCCUCUUGGCCGUGGUUUUUCCCUUAUUCAGAAGGGUUUCCACGUAAAAUCUUGGUGUCAUUAUUGCUGCAUUUUAUUCUUGCUGAUUUAACCAUAAGUUAGUGUUCCGCGUUUAUCACUAAUACCGUGAAUAUUAUUUUUGCGGGUCUAUUUUAUUCCCAUCAAAAAGGAGUCAUCGGCCUUUCCAUUCGAUUGCUUCAUUAUAGUAUUCAGUUCUUUUUCUGUUCUAUUCUUUCCUUUGGGAUGCAAUGCUACAAGCGUGAACGCCUUUUGGUAUCUUUUUUCUUUUUUUGCUAAAUAACUUGUAUUAUUACCGAAAUUGAGAAGUUUUAGCACAAUGGAGCUAUGCUACUGAACAUCAAGUCCCAAUAGUCAGCUCAGCCAUAGUUACAUGAGAAAGCUCAGUAAACACAAAACAACAAAUACUCUACUACACUGAUCAGUCCAAGACUCAUAACUACAAUGGAUAAAAAGCCUUUUGGUUUCUUGUGCAUUACAUAAUACCAAUAUACCUUGACUAAGAAAAAUAUAUAUAUAUUUUUUUUUCAAUUUGAAGUUGUCUAUUGCAGCCAAUAAUGUUUUUUUAUGUUUCUACCAUUAAUAAAUUCUCCAUCUAAAAGCUAUUGAAACCGUUGUAUGUUCUUUAGUUCUUGAUAUUCUUUUUUUACAGGAUUCUGGACAGCAGCGGUGAGCGGUUGCUUACCUUAUAUUAGACUUGUGCUUGAAAGAGUAGUAGACAAUGCUUAAAAAACCAGCUUGGGUUUAGCUUAAGAUCAGACGUAGAUGAUUUAAUCACUUAGGAAGCCAUUUGGACUUCUACAGUACGAGUAGGAGUUGUGCUUUAAUUGAUAUGCUCGCUUUUCCUAAGGACUGUUAGAUCAGGUAUCUCUUUUUAAUUCAGAGGGAAGAUGGAUGAGCAAAGUAAAGUUCAGGAAAUGCUUACCAUUGACAAGAAGAAGAAUCCACAAAAUCAUGACCUAAGUGCUGCAGGAUGCCCCAAUAGUGGCAUUUUAUGGACUGAGAUGGCGCCUUAUCUCAAUUUUCAUGUUAUUGUUGUAGUUGGAAAGUUAAUUUGGCAAAAGAGGAAGUUAGACAUGAAUUCGACAUUAUGUUUUAUUGUUGCACCAGGUAUACAAAUUUUUAGGCAAUUUAUUACAAGUUCCAAGAACAUCAUGGUAGUAGAUUGCCAGAGGAAUGUUGUUGUAAAGAGCUAUGUUGCUGCAAAGCUAAAAAAUGGUAAAAACUGCCCACUGACGAUGGUAACACCAAGGAUGACCUUAGGCUUCCUACCGAUGAUAAACCUCCUUACCUCCUUACGCAGGUAUUGAUCUUUCUUCAACUAAAGCAAAAGCAGCAAGGAGAAAGACAUUCUUAGAAAAUUUCACCAUUUUCUUGUGUAAAUUAGUCUUGGUGGAAAAAUAUAUUUUGGCAUGUUGCUCCCAUUUAAA